AAAAGGGUUUACAACUCUUCUAAGUCAAGCACAAAUCUAUACACUAAACAUUAUCUCUUUACAAUUGCAUGUCCACACUAGCUAUUACAUAUCUCUUCUUCUGCUAUACCCUGCUGGACUCCUUCUGAACUCUGAACCUGCACAACUGGGGAUAGGGGAGAGGGAUGAGCUAUACAAGCCCAAUGAGCAGAACUAUAAAACAUAAUUUGAAAACAUGAUCUCAUGGAAUGCACUACAUCACAUCAUCUCAGGGAUAGACAUGACCACCAAAAAUCCCAAUCAAUAAAAGGAUGCC
rnacentral:lncRNA from 1 species